rnacentral:lncRNA from 1 species
GUUAAAUUCACUUGAAAUAUGUAUUUUUUAAGGUUCUGCUCUUUGCUUCACUAUAGGUUGGCAAUGCUAAUAUCCAGUUACAUAUUAUUUUCAACAUACUGGUUACGUAUAUUUCUCCUGACUUACCUUUGCUGGUACUUUUUCUCAGUCCCAUGAAAAAUCUUAUUUUUCAGAAAGAAUAUUUUCUACAAUCUUGUCUAAUUCAUUCCCUUCUUGUGUAGUGCACCAUAAGAAACCUCAGCAGCUAAGACAGCCUCGAGCCCUUAUUGUGUGGUUUUCCUCUUUUUUUGCGAAUAGGAAAUGCUUGGAACUUUUCUAUGUCUUCCAAACACAGUUGUCCCUGAAGCUGCUUCAGUGCCUCAGAGUCACAGAUGCUCCUCAUUUCUAUGGCUUUGAUUCCCUGGGGCGGGNNNNNNNNNNNNNNNNNNNNNNNNNGUUCACCUCACUGCCUUCCCUGGGUGGAGUGCACACUCAACUCUUUCAAAGCCACUUGAAAUUUGUGGGAAGUACUUGUCUGGUCUCCUGGAGGUCAUUACUUCCUUUUAUGUGGAACGUGGAGGAAAUGCUAUGUCCUUCAUGGGCAAAGGUGUUACAAAGAGCACAGUUCUUUGCUUGGCAAAGGUGUUACAAAGAGCACAGUUCUUUGCUUGCUUGAUUUAUCCCAUGAGAUGAUGGCCCAGGCACCAAGCUCGGAGUGGAUGCCACUUUGGUUUUUGCCUUUGGGUAGUCACAGCGAAGAACAUGCUCCUAUUCAGCAAGGGUUGGCCUGGCUAAUCCCCUUAUGGGUUGAUCGAGACCCGGAGGUGAGAUUCACUUCCCUGGGAUUGGGAUCAGCACUGACCACUAUUGAAGCUGGCUGUGCGGCCUUGGCAAACAGUUGUCAGAAUAUUUCUGGUGGGCUCUGGGGAACCGUGGUGAACAUUCUUCUGGAUCAAUCAGAAUGCAGUAUGGUGCGCCGGGAGGCUGCAUUUAUUCUUCAGAAUCUCCUUGUAAUUCCGAUGCCUUCAGAAGCUAUAAAGAAUUAUACUUGGCAGGGCCCCUGUGUCCAUGAUGAGGAUUCUGGCCUGUCACUCGUAGGAAAACCUGCCCUCCAGGCCCUUUUGUAUCAUUGCCGUUUCUAUGAACAUUUGAUUCAGAUGGCGAAACACUGUUAUAUAGGAAGAUAUACCUUUGAUUUGAAUUUUUCUGCUUUUCCUGAAACUUCAGAAUGCAGUAAUUUAAAUGGGUUAGACGACUCAUUCAAGUAUUGGAGGGCACCCUCAGGGACAUCCGUUCCGGACUAUGAGCCAACCUCUCUUUCCACCUCAGAAACAAUGGUAAUAGAGGACUCAGAAAUGUUCCGUUUGAGUCUCUGAAUAAGUUUGAAUUGCAUAGUAGUGAUAAAAUACUGUAUAAAAGCUCAAGGUUAUGAUUAUAGUCACUGUGGUUUAAAAAAAAAGUAUAUUCUGACAAGACUCCUGUUCUGCAUUUAGUUAAAAUACUCUGGAUAAUGUGUUCAACUGCCCGUAUGUGGUAGACACCCUUGUGCUUUCCCACAUAAGCAUGUCACUGCAAAGUUAAGUAACUGUGAUGAAUAGUGCUGUAAGAGGCAGGGCUGGGAUUUCAACUAGGGACUGCCUGGCUGUAGUCACACUGCACAUAUUCUUUCAGUUGAGAGUCACUAACCCCUCUUUCUUACCUUUUCUGAUAGAAUCAAGAGUAGAAUAGUGUCAAAAGUAUUUUCAUUAAUAGUAGAUGAGACAUAUUCUGUAUAAUUAAAAAUCAUUAGUUAUUCUAUAAUUUUGACUAAGGGCAAGGCACAG